rnacentral:lncRNA from 1 species
UACACUUGUGAAACUAUUCUAUAAUACUAUUUGAAUUUAAAAAAAAACAAAACUAUUCUAUAAUAUUCAUCGAACAUAUUGACGCCCAAUUACACUCUGCCAUAAAUUCUGGGAGCAGAUAACAGUUGGGGACGAUUUGCAAUUUGCGGCGAUUUUGCAGAAUUUUCAUUGGUGGUAUGUAUCUCCUAUUUACGAUUUAACUAAAUGUUUGAGUGGUUCGUUUAAUUCUACAAUCACAAUGUGUUAGUAGUUUAACAAAGAUAGUGGUGAAGCUGAAUUCGUUUACGCUGAUUGUGGAGGAUGGGUAAAUGCCCCACUUGUCUAACCUCAACUUGAUUCGGUUGUGUUGUUGCGGUCUUGAAAUUUAGGCAGACAAACUAGGAUAUAAACUCAUCUAUUGAUCGACAUUGUGUCUGAAUUGCCACUGGUAGAGUAGUUGCCAAAAUGGCUUAGCUUCGACCAACUUUAUUGUUGGGUUAAACUCAUUUAUCUCAUCAAAGGAAAGAAGAUGAUCUCCCACAGUGCCUUUAGAUGCAUCAAGGAAACUAAAGCAAUAUGGAGCCUACUUUGUCUAGUAACUUUUGGUCUUGCUCUAGGACUAAGGAAAAUGGAUACAUAAACAAAAAUUACUUGUUUCCCCACAAGUGCAGCUAAUCAAAUGUUAUUAUUGUUUAGCUAGUGGGGCAGCUAAUCAAAUUGAGCUAUUAGAAAAGAAGUGGUAAUGGAUGAUAGUGAUGGUAGUGUGAUUGAGCAGAAGAGAAGUGGAGUUGUCAUCUGUUGUUAGUACUGUUCAGAAUCAGAAGAAAGUUGUCUGUCAUUACCAGAGCCUGACUCUUAGUGAAUUGAACACGAGAGAGACCUCAAAGAUGAGAGAAUUUGUAUUUUUUAUCGUCUGCACAUAAUGACAAAGGUCGACAUGAAUGCUACAUAUCAAGAAGUGAUUUGGUCGAUCUUCCUACAUACUAUUCAUGUUCUAGAGCACUAGUAAUGGAUGAUAAUGUUUAUAGAAGAAAAGGAUAUUGAUCUUGAGUUUGCUUCUAGAUUGCCAAGGAACAGAAUAUUGUGAAGGUGAUUUAUGUAGGAGUGUAUCAUGGGAAUGAAUUGAUUUUCAAUUUUGUUAAAUGCCAUUCCACUAGCUUGUAAAAGACCCUUGGCCUUGCAUAGAUUUCGUUUCAUAACAUUUCCUCGACAAUUAGUUGUGAAUGCAAAUGUCAACCAUUUAUGCUUCAAACUCAGAGCUCAGUUAAUGUGUAGCUGAAUUUGUAGUCUACUCUGCUACUCUGUAACUAGCUUGAUAUAACUUCACUACAAUCUGGAUUCUUUUGAGAGUUAAAUGCGGUCUAUCUAGUUUUCAUUUCUAUAGCUUUACUGCCUUGAACAAAUGUGUUGCGAUUCGCAGUUAUUUGAACAAUCAAUUGACGAUACUCGUGAAGAUUGUUUUGUGAUCUUGAUGUACUUGUAAGAUUCCAUAUCAUGACUGAGAGUCUCUGAGAUUUGGAAUUUGAAUAUACCAGUUGAUAUUUAGUAUCAGCAUUUUUACAGACUGCUAAAUGUUCCUGCUUACAAUCUUGCAAACUAGUUCUAUUUACUCAACAUGGUCAAGCUUAUCUCUUAUGCACAUUAGUAGAUGAUGUAAAAUAAUUUUACCACAUCUCCCUCGAGCUUUGCCUUUGCAGGUGAAGCAAAAAGGUAACUAAUGAGCCAACAGCUUCCCUCUUCACCUUCUUUACCAUGACACUUAAGCACCCACUAACUGUUAUAUCCGAAUAUUCUGGUUGAGGAUCUGCAUUGAUAUUAUUCUAAGAUUAUACAACGCAUACUUGAAGUAAAAAAAAANCACUAAAAACUUCUACCCAUGAAGAUGUCUAGGUGUAACCGGAAUGAAAGCAGAAAAUAUUAGCAGAUGAUAGUCGUGAGUCCCAACAGAAAAGUCUUGCAUUCUUAUGUAGAAUAAAAAUGUUGUGGUUUUGCUGUUUCCAUUUAUGCACUUGGUUUGCUGAUCUAAUCCACUUUGCUUACUGAUCAAAAUAACGCCAGUCGACAAGAUAAAUAUAGCAUACGGUAGUAACACUAGUUAUAUGAUUCCAAUGAGAUAAAUGAAGACAACGUUGGUCUCCAUUCGCCUCUGGUGGAAGUUACUUCUUCUCAAAGGAAAUAUUCAACAGAAAAAGAGUUGGCUCAAUAAUAUAUACUGCUGUGGUUAAAAUAGAAACCAUCUUUUUAGCUGGAUACAUUAUACUUAGCUCAUAUUUUCUUUGGAUGCAGCAAAUCUCUAUUCUCCGAUUGCAUCACAAGCCAAUGGAGAGAGAUGUGGUGGGCCAUGAUCAAGUUGAAUUAUUCCUGCUUUCUAGUCAUUCAACACUAAACAGAAUCUCCAUCUUUAGAUUCUCAUAUAAUGUUUUCUUGGCUGGUGGUGGUGUUUUUUUUACCUGCAGAAAUGCGUAAGACCACUUGAUUAAUGUCAUGGAGAGCUGCUUCUAAAUUUGCUCACUCAAGACAAGAGUUGGGGCUAGUGGAUAACCUACAUAAAAAGUAGUAAAUGAUACACCACUUUUUUUUUCAUUUCAUUUUUAUGUUAGUUAUGCAGAAUCUUGGCUUUACAUAUUUUAACACCUUUUUUUUAAAUCCUCAUGUUAAUUAUCUGUUAUUGCUGAAAUAAGCCUGCUUAGAAUGUAA